GAUGAACGCUGGCGGCGUGCCUAAUACAUGCAAGUCGAGCGAACGGACGAGAAGCUUGCUUCUCUGAUGUUAGCGGCGGACGGGUGAGUAACACGUGGAUAACCUACCUAUAAGACUGGGAUAACUUCGGGAAACCGGAGCUAAUACCGGAUGAUAUUUUGAACCGCAUGGUUCAAAAGUGAAAGACGGUCUUGCUGUCACUUCUCGAUGGAUCCGCGCUGCAUUAGCUAGUUGGUAAGGUAACGGCUUACCAAGGCAACGAUGCAUAGCCGACCUGAGAGGGUGAUCGGCCACACUGGAACUGAGACACGGUCCAGACUACUACGGGAGGCAGCAGUAGGGAAUCUUCCGCAAUGGGCGAAAGCCUGACGGAGCAACGCCGCGUGAGUGAUGAAGGUCUUCGGAGCGUAAAACUCUGUUAUUAGGGAAGAACAUAUGUGUAAGUAACUGUGCACAUAUUGACGGUACCUAAUCAGAAAGCCACGGCUAACUACGUG
rnacentral:rRNA from 1 species